rnacentral:lncRNA from 1 species
GCAUUUCCUAGUAGUCAUUUAUGCUAAUUUUUCUAGACAAAUGGCUACAGUCAGAGCACAGUCUCUUAAGCUAUUAAAUCUUUGUCUUUUUAGAAUUGAAAACAGGGAUUGCUAUCCAACUUCUGGGCUUUAGUCUCUAAUUGGCAUUUAUUUCUUCUUCAAUAUUUUUUUAUUUUCGAAAUUUUCAUACAUCAACACAAUGAAACAUGAUAUUAUCAUAUUCCCUGUUUUUCCUUCAGUUCUCCCCAUAUCCCUAUCACACCUGUCCCAACUUCAUGUGUAUUUAUUUGUUUGUUUGAUAACCCACUAAUUCAGUGACACACAUGUGGGGCCAGCCAAUAAAGCACAGAAAACCUAUUAGUGGCCACGCCCUCAAUAAUGAUUCUCCCUCCCCCCAGCAACUACCUACUUCGUACAGUUCCUCACUAUGUGAUUUGGCCUCAAGAUCACUUAUCCUAUCUAGUUUUCCUUGAAAUUUAAAGAGUCACUCUCCUUCAAGAAAAUACUCCCCCAACUUUUCCACUAGGCAAUAUUUAGAACACCCUUUCUUAAAGGUGUUUUGAGCACCAGGCCCUUGCAAAGGCCGCUAAUCUAGAGCUGUGCUGUGGGGCAGAUAUCUCGACUUUGCUUACUUUCCCAGUGGAAAGUACUGCAGGACCCACCCUUCAAACUCACCUGGACUGUCCUAGCUCUUCAAAUUGUGAUUAUCUACCACAAUCAUGGCAAGGACAAUUUAACUGGGUAAGAAAGAUUGGAAUGAAUUAGUCUCAGGCCUAUGAAGAAUGCAAACUUGUUGGGUAAUCAAAAUGUUGCAUCCAGAUGGACAGAAAUUCCAGGGUGUGCAGCUGCAUUGGCUGAGCUGGGGAGAUGGUGUAAUGACUGCUAUUCUUUCCAAAUGCCUACUUACUCACUGUAUUAGUCAGGGUCCUCUAAAGUAACAGAACAUACAGAACAGAUUUCUUUAUAUAUGCAGAGGAAAGGGGUUAAUCAGAAUGACUUAUAGGCUAUGGUCCAGCUAAUCCAACAAUGGCUGGCUGCAAAUGGAAUGUCUGAGAAUCCAAUAGUUGCUCAGUCCACAAGGCUGGAUGUCUCUGAUAGUCUUGAUUCUAUGCUGCAAUCUUGAGUAAGUAAGCUUUAAUGCUAGUGAAAAAAUGGACUUGCUAGCAAGGUGAGGGCAAGCAGGCAAAGAGCAAAAGUUUCCUUCUUCCAUGUCCUUAUGUGUUGCAGGUUACCCUGCUUGGAUACCCCUUGGGGGUGAGAAGAUGCAGCACCAAUGACUCAGGCACUGGGAGACACAUGUGAGUGCUCCGCUGCCUGCUUCCAUCAUCAUGCAACA